AUGAACAAAAAAGGGCUGAGAUUGAAACUAUGUUUUGGGCUGUCAAAUGUGAGAACUGAGAUGUUGAUUUUGCUCUUCAAAAUAAGUCCGAAAAUCCAUCUCUGUCAAAUAAUGCCAUUAUUUUUGUUUGUUGUUUUUUUAUGCCAAGUGAAUACUAAAUGGGCUUUAUUGUGUUUAAAUGUUUGGAAUGAUAUUAACACUUUUUGGGCUAAUUUUUCUUUGUGA